rnacentral:lncRNA from 1 species
AUAGUCUUACUUAUUCUAGAAAAGUAUUUGGUUACAUGCUAACAAACCUACAAUAAAAAUCAGGAAGAAUACUUAUAGCCUAUGUUACUGGACUAUUUUCUACGUAAGAAUUAGAUAAACUCUAAAAUCUCACUAAGUUCACUAUCACUAACACUGAUGCAGGAUUUUUCUUCUUGGUCAUUUUGCAAGCCGGGGACCCCCGGCCAGUGACACUCCACCCGGGCCUCGCUCGGCCACGCUGGCAUGCCCCAGCUCACCUAUGUUAUAGCUUGUACCUGCAUUCGGUGGUUCCCGAGCUCUGGUACUGCACCCAAGAAGAAUAAGGAUACGCUGGGCAUUGAAGUGGUAAGGAGGGCGAAGAAGAGUUUUAUUGAGCAAUGAAAACGGCUUUCAGCGGAGAAGGGAUGCAUGGUUGGUCCCCCUACGCAAAGGCAGGAAAGUUCCCCCAAGUGGUUGGGUCUGGGGCCUGUUAUGGACUCAGAAUGGGGAGUGCAUGCUGAUUGGUUUGUGAGCAUGUAAAAAAGGUUAAAGCAAAGACACCACUCAAAGGUGGGCACGACAGUGUAGAAAACCAAUUAAGAAAGGGAACCAAGGGCGGGUAAUAUCAGAAGAAAAUCGUGCGAUGAAAAUGAAGAUCAGAAGCGCAUACUGAACAAGCAACUGACUUUGUUAAUCUCUUGAAAAAUAGCAUCAAGGGGGAUGUUUUUAAAUUAAAGAAGAAUGAUUUU